GACGAACCGUGCAAACGUUAUUCGGAUUCACUGGGCUUAAAGGGCGCGUAGGCGGGCCACCAAGUCAGGGGUGAAAUCUUUCGGCUCAACCGGAAAAGUGCCUUUGAUACUGGUGGCCUCGAGGGAGGUAGGGGCAUGCGGAACUUCCGGUGGAGCGGUGAAAUGCGUAGAUAUCGGAAGGAACGCCGGUGGCGAAAGCGGCGUGCUGGACCUCUUCUGACGCUGAGGCGCGAAAGCUAGGGGAGCAAACGGG
rnacentral:rRNA from 1 species